rnacentral:lncRNA from 1 species
CACCUUCCGUGCGACUGAUGCGAACCCCGAAGCCGGACUCUGUCUGCUACAGUCCUGGCGUCCAAGUUCUCUUUAGCUCAUGUCACUAGGGACCUGAACUGCCUUAUAGAUCUCAGGGUUUUUUCUUCUGGUUUCGCUUCCGCCUCCUGACCCCACGUGGAGGAGCUACCGCCAGAAGAUGGCAGCAGCCGCCAAGUUGUCACUACUAGAGAAGUCCCU